rnacentral:rRNA from 1 species
GACAGAGGCCUCAAGCGUUUAGGCGGAAUCACUGGGCUUAAAGCGUGUGUAGGCGGAUCGUUAAGUGUCUUGUGAAAUCCCACGGCUCACCCGUGGAACUGCUGGGCAUACUGGCGAUCUUGGGCCAACUAGGGGCAGCCGGAACAAGCGGUGGAGCGGUGAAAUGCGUAGAUAUCGCUUGGAACGCCGAAGGUGAAAACAGGCUGCUGGGGUUGCGCCGACG